AUUGAACGCUGGCGGCAUGCUUUACACGUGCAAGUCGAACGGUAACAGGGUGCUUGCACCGCUGACGAGUGGCGAACGGGUGAGUAAUGCGUCGGAACGUGCCGAGUAGUGGGGGAUAACGCAGCGAAAGUUGUGCUAAUACCGCAUACGUACUGAGGUAGAAAGUGGGGGACCUUCGGGCCUCACGCUAUUCGAGCGGCCGACGGCUGAUUAGCUAGUAGGUGAGGUAAAGGCUCACCUAGGCGACGAUCAGUAGCGGGUCUGAGAGGAUGAUCCGCCACACUGGGACUGAGACACGGCCCAGACUCCUACGGGAGGCAGCAGUGGGGAAUUUUGGACAAUGGGCGAAAGCCUGAUCCAGCCAUGCCGCGUGUCUGAAGAAGGCCUUCGGGUUGUAAAGGACUUUUGUCAGGGAGGAAAUCCCUAGUGCUAAUACCGCUGGGGGAUGACAGUACCUGAAGAAUAAGCACCGGCUAACUACGUGCCAGCAGCCGCGGUAAAAC
rnacentral:rRNA from 1 species